CCUACGGGAGGCAGCAGUAGGGAAUCUUCCACAAUGGGCGAAAGCCUGAUGGAGCAACGCCGCGUGGGUGAAGAAGGUCUUCGGAUCGUAAAACCCUGUUGUUAGAGAAGAAAGUGCGUGAGAGUAACUGUUCACGUUUCGACGGUAUCUAACCAGAAAGCCACGGCUAACUACGUGCCAGCAGCCGCGGUAAUACGUAGGUGGCAAGCGUUAUCCGGAUUUAUUGGGCGUAAAGGGAACGCAGGCGGUCUUUUAAGUCUGAUGUGAAAUCCUUCGGCUUAACCGGAGUAGUGCAUUGGAAACUGGGAGACUUGAGAGCAGAAGAGGAGAGUGGAACUCCAUGUGUAGCGGUGAAAUGCGUAGAUAUAUGGAAGAACACCAGUGGCGAAAGCGGCUCUCUGGUCUGUAACUGACGCUGAGGUUCGAAAGCGUGGGUAGCAAACAGGAUUAGAUACCCCAGUAGUC
rnacentral:rRNA from 1 species